ensembl:lncRNA
GUUGUAUUAAUCAGGAGAAUCUGCUUGAUUACUAUCCCUUGCCUGAGUACACUGUCCAUGGCACACCACUGAUAAUUCUUUCCCUCUAGUCCAGAAUGAUGCCGAACAUGAGUGAAGAAAUCAAAAAGAUCAUCUGCAAGACCUUGCCAAAUCUGUCUGAAGAGACCCAGUGGCAAAUAAUAUGGAAACUUCAGAGCUCCGACUUGGAGUCAAAAGAGGACUUAAAAUAUGUACAACAGGAAGACAUUGCUGAUCUGUUACCUGUUAUCCAGCGCAGAAAACUCCUGGAUGCAUUUAAAUUAGAAACCGAGACAGUUGCAUUGGAUUUAUAAGUCAUUCCAACUUCGUCACCACUGAGUAGUGAUUGGUUGGUGUCUGGGUCUUCAUCACCAACUUUAUGCACUCCGCCUAAUUCUAGCUCAUCACAGCUAUCGGCCAUUUCGUCAUGUUCAAGCCAGGCAAGAAACAGCAAGCCAAGCAACAGACCUUCCACAUCUCAGAUACUGAAAACAUGGCCAGAAAUAUUCCAGGUCCCUUGGGAACAAAUGCCACAGGAAAUUCGUUAUGCAAUUGCAGAUGGCAAGAGACCUAAACCAGUGGAGCGACACCAGAUGGUACGAGUACUCGCGGAUGAAAUGAGAAGGCAAGAGGGGUCCAACUGACACAUAUGGAUGUACACGAUUUCAGCCAGAGCUUCCCCCAGAAGAAACUGAUGAAACUGUGGAGCAGCACCGCCAGAGACUGGAGGAGAUUUACAGACAGGAGGGUGCAGGUGGAGCAGAAAGAGCAGAAGUUAAAAAUCUAAUGGAGCUCACAUUCUCUCUACAAUAUC